rnacentral:rRNA from 1 species
GGGUAGUCCUGGCCGUAAACGAUGUGGACUUGGUGUUGGAAUGGCUCCGAGCUGCUCCAGUGCCGAAGGGAAGCUGUUAAGUCCACCGCCUGGGAAGUACGGUCGCAAGACUGAAACUUAAAGGAAUUGGCGGGGAGCACCACAACGCGUGGAGCCUGUCGGUUUAAUUGGACUCAACGACCGGAAAACUCAGUCGGGAGCGACAGCAGUAUGUAUUCGCCGUAGGUUGAUGACCUUGCUUGACAAGCUG